rnacentral:lncRNA from 1 species
GAGGUGGAGAGUUGUAGACAUAAGAAAGGGGUAGCGAUGCAUAUGGUGGUGGAGGAGAUUUGUAAACAUAUGGAGGCGGUGGUGAAGGAGAGGGAGGUGGAGGAGAUUUGUAGACAUACGGUGGAGGAGGUGAGGGAGAAGGAUGUGGUGGUGACUUGUGCACAUAAGGCGGAGGUGGUGAUGGGGAUGGUGGUGGUGGGGACUUGUAGAUGUAAGAAAGGGGUAGUGAUGCAGAUGGUGGAGGAGGAGACUUGUAGACAUAUGGAGGUGGUGGUGAAGGAGAGGGAGGUGGAGGAGAUUUGUAGACAUAUGGUGGAGGAAGUGAAGGAGAAGGAGGUGGUGGUGACUUGUAAAUAUAAGGUGGAGGUGGUGAUGGGGAUGGUGGUGGUGGGGACUUGUAGAUGUAAGAAAGGGGUAGUGAUGCAGAUGGUGGAGGAGGAGACUUAUAGACAUACUUAGGUUGUGGUGAUGGAGAGGGAGGUGGAGGAGAUUUGUAGACAUAUGGCGGAGGAGGUGAAGGAGAGGGAGGUGGUGGUGACUUAUAAAUAUAAGGUGGAGGUGGUGAAGGAGAUGGUGGUGGUGGAGAUUUGUAUGUAUAUAAUGGAGCUAAUUUGGGGUAGAGGUGUGCGUGUUUUGCAUGAUGUGGGGUGUAUUGUGAUUGUGGAUAUUUUGCAUGUUUUGGAGGAGGUGGAGAUUUAUAUGUAUAUAAUGGAGUUAAUUUGGGGUAGAGGUGUGAGUGUUUUGCAUGAUGUGGGGUAUAUUGUGAUUGUGGAUAUUUUGCAUACUUUGGAGGUGGUGGGGAUUUGUAUGUAUAUAAUUGAGUUAAUUUGGGGUAGAGGUGUGAGUGUUUUGCAUGAUGUGAGGUGUAUUUUGAUUGUGGAUAUUUUGCAUACUUUGGAGGUGGUGGGGAUUUGUAUGUAUAUAUUGGAGUUAAUUUUGGAUAGGGAUGUGAAUGUUUUGCAUGUUCAGGGGUGUACUUUGAUUGUGGAUAUUCUACAUGCUUUGUAG